AGCCACCUCCACGCUGAUAUCUGAGCCCUGCUUUCCACAUGGUCAAGCCUUUCAGAGGCAGCCAGCCUAUGGCUUGUAUCAAACUCUAUAUUUAGGAAGAACAACUGUGAGCUAUGACAGGAAUUCUCUUUAACACUUUAGCCUUAAAGCAAGUUCCCCUCUAGCCCAAGCCAGGAGCAGCUCUCAGGACCGGAGAGGGACAGAGCACUCCAGCUAUUCCAGCCACAUGAAAAGCACUGGAAUUGAGAUCUCAGCUCAGAGGACACCGGGAGUUCCUUCUACCCUGUAAAGCGUUUUCUGUUUUUGCACCUGGCUGCCUAGGACUGUCCUCAGGCAGUAAACAAAUCCAGAGAGCAGGUAUAAGACCUCUUGAACAUGUCGAAGCAGCCAAUUUCCAACGUCAGAUCCAUUCAGGCCAAUAUUAAUAUUCCAAUGGGAGCCUUUCGUCCGGGAGCUGGGCAGCCUCCCAGAAGGAAAGAGAGUACCCCUGGAACUGCGGAGGGAGCACCUGCUACUCCCGAGGAAAAGAAGCCAGUUCCUGGAAUGAAGAAAUUCCCAGGACCCGUCGUCAACCUGUCUGAGAUCCAAAACGUUAAAAGUGAACUAAAAUACGUCCCCAAAGGUGAACAGUAGUUCAAAGGGGUCAGAAGCCUCAAGAAAAAAAAAGAAGUGUAAUGAGAGCAAACAAGAGAAACCCCAUCGAACUACACACCUGGCUUGACGUGCUUUCUCAAUGGAAAAAACAAUGGGUUGAAAUAAACAACUUCAUGAGAAUUUUAUAUAUUUGUAUGAUGAUCACAAACUUCCUGAAUGCCCAAGACUCUAGCAAAAAAUAUCCUGUUUGUACAUUUAUAUUUCUUCCUUCUACUUGGCUGCAUUUCUCACUUUAGCUACAUUUUUGGCACCUUGCAGAGCAAAUGAGCACAUGAAUUUACCACCUGGGGAGUGUGGUUUUGAGGAGAGAUGUGAUUUUUAUGGAGGGGGGUACAGCAAUGUGCAUGCAGUGAUUUUGAUAUUAAGUACUUUUAAGUUACUUCCCACAGUCUUUUGGUCAAUAUUUGAAAUGUCUUCUUCACCUUUUAAAUGAUCUCAAUUAACUUUUUAUGAGUUGAAAUAAAUAUUUGAGUAAAUGUAA